UCAUCAUAUACUAUUGAGACAUCUCAAUUUAUCACAGGAAGGAUGUACCUCUCGCCCUGUCCUCAACCCUGAUUCAGCCCUCCUGCACCCUGGCCUGAGUGAAGCUGCAUGGAGAGAAGAGUAAGCCAACCUCUGCUUGGAAAUGUUCUCUGUUAGGAAGGGAGACAAAAAUGAGAACAGACAUGUUCUGCAUGAGAUGAGCACAGUAGUAAGCCAUGCACAAGAAGUCCUCGGGCCCAAGGACCAAGCCAACCAGAGUCUGAACAAAGGGAACGGCCAAAUGGAGACACCCAUGGUACUUCGGAACUAGGAAGCUGCCCAGGGAGAAAUAAAUCUAAAAUGGGCAUCAGCAAACCACCACACCUAGGCAGAAGUAGUCGGCAGGGGUGAGGCACGUUGAAGAGGAGGAAACUGAGACGGAGCAGGGACCAUCUCCAAGCAUCUUUCAUCCUCUUCAAGGAAGCACAUUAUAAAAAGCAUCUUAGCCAAUUGGAUUCUUUCCUGACAACAGCUGAAGGUAUUCGAGUCGACAGUGCCAUUCAUCUUGUAUGUAUGGAGGCCCUUCAUUCAUGUUGCUGAAGUAAAUUUGGUUCCUACCAAAACGAAAUAUGAAUAAGAGCAAAGCAAGGUGCGGUGUGAGAAAUGAAUUUGGCCCAAACCAAACCAAAACAAAACUUCCCACCUCUAUAAAUACGGGUGAACAUAAGGCUAAAGGUUACCCAGGGUGGUCUGAACUAGAACCUUCCAGUCUAGACAUACAGGCAGAUGGCAGUCAGAAAACAGAAAGAGCUCAGAGGGCUUGAGUUCUUCAAUACAAAAGGAAUGCUUUAAAAAUGGUAACUGCAUUUUUUUUGGCUUAUCUUUAUAACUUUCAUGAGCAAAUUUCACCUUUGUGAUUAGGCAAAAAAAAAAAAAACAA